rnacentral:rRNA from 1 species
GGUGAACGCUGGCGGCGUGCUUAAGACAUGCAAGUCGAACGGCAGUCUUCGGACUGUAGUGGCGCACGGGUGAGUAACGCGUAACUGACCUACCCCAAAGUCGCGGAUAACGAUUCGAAAGAAUCGCUAAUACGUGAUGUGCUGUCAGAUUGUGUUCUGCCAGUAAAGAUUGAUUGCUUUGGGAUGGGGUUGCGUUCCAUCAGCUAGUUGGUGGGGUAAAGGCCCACCAAGGCGACGACGGAUAGCCGGCCUGAGAGGGUGGCGGGCCACAGGGGCACUGAGACACGGGUCCCACUCCUACGGGAGGCAGCAGUCAGGAAUCUUCCACAAUGGGCGAAAGCCUGAUGGAGCGACGCCGCGUGAGGGAUGAAGGUCUUCGGAUCGUAAACCUCUGAAUCAGGGACCAAAGACACUUCGGUGGGAUGACGGUACCUGAGUAAUAGCACCGGCUAACUCCGUGCCAGCAGCCGCGGUAACAC